UCCGGCUGAAACAACGCUCGGACAACGUAACCGGGCCGCUACUCCCGAGAACUACCUGGACUCCCUCUCGUGAACUGGGCUGCAGUGGGACAUUGGGCUACUUUGUUGGUCUUGUGGGCUGCAAGUUAUGCUCAACCUCGGGAGAAGACCGUGGAGGCGGAGGCACCACACCGCGUAUGCCGCCACCAUUACUUCGUGCAGUUAAUGGCAAUUGAAGGUGCGCCCUCUGUCAUCCCAUCACUGCCCUUCCGGUUCCCUUGCUUUUCUUGCUGUAGUCGAUUGGCGUUUCAGAUUUCUGGCCUACCCCACUUCUUCGAUACUUCAUGAGGUCCCCCUUUGAUUUGCCUGCAAAUAGGUUCUGAUUCUUGUUGUUAGUUUGUUGAUUAAAAGGGAAUCAUGGAGACCACGACAAUGGCCGAUGUGGAGGAGGAGCAGACGGCAGCGGCGAUGGCGGGGAGAUGCAGAGGAGGCAUCUAUGUCAACCGAUCAAGGAUGCGGAGGAGAAUACGUAUGAGCGAGUCAGCGGCUUCGGCGGUCUCUGGAUGGCGCAAGAUAAGGAGGCUGGUUCGACUGCUGGGCUAGCAUCCUCGACGGCGGAGACUGGCAGUCCACAACAGGUGAACUUUAUUUAUCGCCCUUCAAUUCCCAUCUUUGAGCCCUCUGUAUUGGAGUCUGGGUAGGGCGCCAGGUUGAUUGAGGAUCCAAUGAUGAAGAGGACACGGUGUGCACCUCUAUUUCUUCAUACCAGAUGUGAUCAAACAAAUAUUGGGUGUCAGUGGUUCCCCUACCUCUGGUUCACUAUACUGACCUCCACUGUUAUGAUCUGAUUUUCGCCAACCAGGUCCUUCCACCUAAUACCUCAGCUCGGGAGGAUGAUGAUCUUACUUUGCUAAUGGUUACACUUACACAUAUGUUAUUGGCGAUUUACCAAACUGCAAAAGUUAGUUCUUUGAUUGAAGGAUUACAAUAGACUGGUAGCACCAACUUAUAAAUUUAGUAGCAGUGGCUCUGUAUGCGAUAGAUUUCUGUAAACUUCUAUGAUGUCUAGCGAGCUUAAUAGCACGUUUAUCAUAUUUUAUUUUAGAUGCAUUGGAAUAUUUCCUUGAAUAAUAGGAAAAUUCCAUGGUUUUUUAAUUGCAAUGAAUAGGUACACAUUGCAGACUUGCAAUGUCCCGCGCUGACAAUAAAAAUACACUUCAAACCUAGGAAAAUGUUGAAAGGAUGCAAUCUUUUUAUUCUACCUAAUUGUCUUAUGUAUGGUUAUUCAGGGUGGUCGUUUUGGCUUUUCUUCAUUGGACUAUCAUUGGUUCAUCAUUUUUUACUGCUUCCAUGGACUAGAAAAAAGGUUCAGAUUUCUGGAGUAUCACUGAAUCACUAAUUCUGGCAUAUGCUUUUGGCAAUUUUAGUGCAACAGGGUAUCAAUUUCCUGUUUGUUCAUUAUUUUUAUGUUUUUUUCCACCAAUUUUGAUUACCUUGCAUUAGUUUAGCUUCAAUUGAGUCUUGAUUAUUUCCUCACACACAUAUAAUUUUAAGUGCUUUAAUCUUGCAAUAUAAAGCAUAUUUGGUUAAGCUAGCAUAUCAUUUUAGAUGUUAUCUCCUUUGCACUAGCAGCAGGACACUAGCAUUCCAUCUCUGGGACAUCCUCAACUUACAGCAAUAUCUUUUAGAUGACUGGCCUGCAAUCUGCCGAGGCUGCACCUGCUUCCGUGCAUAUUGGAUUUUUCAAUGCUACUCUAUGGCAGGAUAAGUGUAUAAUAAACCUGCUGAUUUGAAGUGACCGAUAAAUCUGAGAUCGGAAAAAGGUGAGAUCAGAUUUUAUUGGUUAGAUAUAUCAGCGGGGUUUAAUAAGCUUUUGUUGAUCUUAAUCACUUGGUUCUGUUGGCAUGUCAAAUUAAAAUCAAUUGCAUUGUUGUUGUUCAUAUGGAAUCCAUGGAUGGUGGACAAUAGGUAUGUGCAUAAUAACAAGAUAUUUUUGUUCCUAUUUUCUGUUCCGAUUCUUGCAUAUUUCUUAGAUGAUUGUUUGUGAUCUGUGGGGGACAUAUUUAGUUUUAGUGUUGCACUUUAUAUUGACAUUCACGUUUAGCCAUUAAAAUAAAGUGCUUAGUGCUCCAAUGCAAUACUUGGAUUCCUCGAGAACGUGUCCUUAAUUUAAGAGUUGAAUGCUAUACAAGAAUAGAAGACUGAACCUGUUACAUGAUACAUUUUGUAAUGUUCUGCGUUCAUUUUUUUUACUAUGUUUUCAUGAAUGUGAUCUAGAGAAAACGUAAAAAAUAUCAAUCAUCAUCCCAGUGUAUUAGUUCCCAAUUCAGAAAAAUAUCCUAUACAUAAUAUGCAGCAUCACAUUAUAAUUCAAAUGAUUCAAGUUUUAUCAAAUGUCUCUAUUUCUUAGUUUUUUCAAACAUUAUUUCCUAAACAUGGACGGGUGCAAAAUGUUGCUAACUACAAACUGUUAUGAUUAUGAGAGAAACACUCUUGCAUUCCAUUACCCUGAUAUGCUGGGUAAAUCACCAUCACACAAAUUCAGUACAAACUGUGGAAGAUGGUGAAACCAAACAUAGUGGUUGUCAUCCCCUAACAGAGUGCCUCGCACAACAAGUUUGCGAGAUACAAUGUUAUGGGAUCUUGGACACAGAUUAACUAUUACUGUCAAAAGCAACACUCAGAUUAGAUGUCAUUUCUCUAAAGAGGACACCUAGAGAUGAGUAGUCAGUUUGAUGUCGUGAUCUCCUGUUUCAAAGUGGUAGCAUCCAUCUCCAGGACAAUGUUACUGAAUCCCAUCGCUGCAGAAUAGUGCAGAAUAUUCAGAAGGACUUGCUUCAGAUUGGAGGGCACGCGCAUUGUCCAUGAUCUGUAGCAAUUGUUUCACGAGUUUCAUUUCAAACGAUGAAACCCCAUCCCCCACUGCUGGUUUCCUCAUGAAAAGUGGUGUCUGUAUUAGCAUAUUUGGAGGAGAAAAAUCAGAGGAUGUAUUAUCUUUCACGAGUAAGGCUACACAGAGGAGGUAAUGAAUCCCAUCCCUGCAGAAUAGUGCAAAAUAUCAGAGGUACUGUCUUUCACGAGUUGAUUGUCACGGAUUGUUUUUUAUGGAUGGACGUGUAAGUUGCAGAUUUGGCCUUGCAUCCUAAAAUCAUGGGAGGUCAAAAAGUUAAACCAAUCCACGUCUGUAUGUGCAGUCCAUAGCAUCCAGUCCGUAGGUCUAGGAUUUCAGGUCUUUCACUGAUCAGCAAAGCCACUUCAAGACAACUCAAAGUCGCAUCUGGGCAUGUACCCCAGACAUUCUGUGCAAUAUGGUCGUAUUCUCAAUUUUUAACAGUGUUGUAUACAUGAUGCAUAAGUGAGGUGGAUUUCAACAUGUAUGUAAAAUCAGAGUAUAUUUUACCAAUUAGAUCUAAAUAUGAUUAGUUUACCACUUUUGGAUCACUCAUAUAAGCAAUGUUAGAAAUUUCCCAAGUUUGUUGGGAUUUGCUUAGUCCUAUCAGGCAGACAUUUUUUCAGGAAAUUUCAAAUUUUCAUUGUUCGUACAUGUAUUUACUACUAAUUUUUUAAAUUAACGGGCGCGGCAAUGCGCGCGCUCAUGGUCUAGUAUGACUGAUAUGUAGUACUAGUCCAAUUCGGUAUUCUAGUUGUUGACCAAUAUCAUGCCAAGGGAGAGAAAGUUCAUAAACAAGUCCCAGUGGCACAUAGUGUCGGCAUCCAGGGCCACGUCUCACUGAUAAUUUGAGGUGGCAUACAUCUUGCAACUUGUAUGCAACAGGUA